rnacentral:lncRNA from 1 species
AUUCAACCCAAUACCUCAGACAACUGGUAAAUAUCUUAAUGAUUAACUUCGUUUUAAAGAUGCCACAUGAGUGAGAUCAUGAGGUAUUUGUCUUUCUGUGUCUUAUUUUGCUUACAUGAUAUCCUCAGGUUUAUCCGUGUUGUGGCAAAUGAUAGGGUUUCAUUCUUUUAUUAGAGCUGAAUAGUACUCCAUUGUGUAUAUAUACCACAUUUUCUUUUUUCUGAAAGGAAAAUCUUGGGGCCCCAAAAUUACUAAACUAAGGGAAAAGACAAGCUCGGAACUGCUCAGGACAAACCUGCCUCCCAUUCUAUUCAAAGUCAUUCCUCUGCUCACUGAGAUAAAUGCAUAUUGAUAGCCUCCUUUGGAGAGGCUUAUCAGAAACCCAGAAACUGCAACCAUUUGUCUGUCACCUACCUGUGACCUGGAAGCCCCCUCCCUGUUCCAAGUUGCCCCCGCC